GCUAUUGGGCACUUAUGGGCCAGUUAUGGGGCAGCUAUGGGGCAGUGAUGGGGCAGCUAUGGGGCACUUAUGGGGAACUGAUGGGGCUGCUAUGGGGCACUGAUGGGGCACUAAUGGGGCACUGAUAGGGCAGCUAUGGGGCACUUAUGGUGCAGUUAUGGGUCAGCUAUGGGGCAGCUAUGGGGCACUUAUGGGUCAUCCCUCACACUUAUAGGACAGUUAUGGAUUCUCCCCCAGCACUUAUGGGGCAGCUAUAGGGCAGCUAUGGGGCAGCUAUGGGUUCCCCCCAGCACUUAUGGGGCAGCUAUAGGGCAGUUAUGGGGCAGUUAUGGGUCCCCCCCAGCACUUAUGGGGCAGCUAUGGGGCAGUUAUGGGUUCCCCCCGGCACUUAUGGGGCAGCUAUGGGGCAGUUAUGGGUCCCCCCACAGCACUUAUGGGGCAGCUAUGGGGCAGCUGUGGGGCAGCUGUGGGGCGGUUAUGGGGCAAGGGUGGGAGGUUAUGGGGUCAUCCCCUCCCCAGCAGCGGUUAUGGGGCAGGGAUGGGAGAUUUGGGGUCACCC
rnacentral:lncRNA from 1 species